rnacentral:lncRNA from 1 species
UUCAGAAGAAUUUUCUGGUUUUUCUUUUCCAAAACUAAUCAUAUCAUUGGAAAAUAAAAAUACUGAGGAGUGAGGAAGAUGGCGCUGUAGGACCAACUCAGGAUUGCAGCUCCCAGUGAAAUCGCAGAGGGGACAAAGAUAGCAGAAGAAGAAUCUGGUAGCAACCCUCAUGGUUCUGCAGCUGCUACAGGAGUUCCCCAGGCAAGCAGGGCCUGGAGUGGACCUCAGCAGUCCAACAGCAGAG